rnacentral:rRNA from 1 species
GUCGACGGGUAGCCGGCCUGAGAGGGUGACCGGCCACACUGGGACUGAGACACGGCCCAGACUCCUACGGGAGGCAGCAGUGGGGAAUAUUGCACAAUGGGCGCAAGCCUGAUGCAGCAACGCCGCGUGAGGGAUGACGGCCUUCGGGUUGUAAACCUCUUUUAGCAGGGAAGAAGCGAGAGUGACGGUACCUGCAGAAAAAGCGCCGGCUAACUACGUGCCAGCAGCCGCGGUAAUACGUAGGGCGCAAGCGUUAUCCGGAAUUAUUGGGCGUAAAGAGCUCGUAGGCGGUUUGUCGCGUCUGCUGUGAAAUCCCGAGGCUCAACCUCGGGCCUGCAGUGGGUACGGGCAGACUAGAGUGCGGUAGGGGAGAUUGGAAUUCCUGGUGUAGCGGUGGAAUGCGCAGAUAUCAGGAGGAACACCGAUGGCGAAGGCAGAUCUCUGGGCCGUAACUGACGCUGAGGAGCGAAAGGGUGGGGAGCAAACAGGCUUAGAUACCCUGGUAGUCCACCCCGUAAACGUUGGGAACUAGUUGUGGGGUCCUUUCCACGGAUUCCGUGACGCAGCUAACGCAUUAAGUUCCCCGCCUGGGGGAGUACGGA